rnacentral:rRNA from 1 species
UACGAACCGUACGAACGUUAUUCGGAAUCACUGGGCUUAAAGGGUGCGUAGGCGGCGCGGAAAGUUGGGUGUGAAAUCCCUCGGCUCAACCGAAGAAUUGCGCCCAAAACUACCGUGCUUGAGGGAGACAGAGGUGAGCGGAACUAAGGGUGGAGCGGUGAAAUGCGUUGAUAUCCUUAGGAACACCGGUGGCGAAAGCGGCUCACUGGGUCUCUUCUGACGCUGAGGCACGAAAGCUAGGGGAGCGAACGGG